GUGGCCGAGGCGCAGCAGUGUUUGUGCCUCCCGCACCAGACAGGCGCGCACCGCCGCCUCGUCCACCGCCGGCACCACGUACUUGUUGAAGCUGCAGUAGGAGCAGUGCUUGCGGCAGUAGGGCCAGUGCACGUAGAGAGCGGCUGUCGCGGGCCCCGCCGGUUCGGGGCCGGGAUCGGAGGGCUCCGAGGCCGACCUCAGCCCCGCAGCGCAGCCCGGACCCAUCCCGCGUGGCCGCGCCGCCCCGAGCCCCGCACGGAGGCCCCGCACCGCCAUCGCGCAGCGCAGCGCAGCGCACCGCCCCCGUUCCGCCCCGGGCGCCGCGCGAGGUUCCGUUUUCCGGACACCGCCUCGUCUUACUUGAACUGAGCGCGCGGCUGCCGCGCGUUAAUGACUGCAGCCUUUAAUUAAUUACACGUUCGAAUGGCGUCUGACGCGCGGCCUGAGCGACAGCGCGACGGGAAACGGCUCUGCGCGGCCGGGAAGGUCCGGGUCGGGCGUGAGCGGAAAACCUCCGCCCGGAGGCGGUGCGGCCCCGGCCCUGGAGCAGCCCUGGAGCAGCCCCGGAGCCCCGGGAUGGGAGCGCUCCGCCCGCGGCGGGGACGGGAACUGCGUGACCUUUACGGUCCCCUCCGCCCCCGCCCCGCCCCCCCCGCUCCACGAUCCCACGACGUUCCCGAGAUCCCAGCCGAGCCCACGCUGCGCCCCACCGCCACCCCCUGCGCCCAGCGGGGCUCAGCCCGAGGGACGCGCCGGGCGGUGGGAAAGGAGGUGGGGAGGAGGGGAGGUGGGCCCGGGGCUGUUCUGCUUCCCGCGCCCCAGGAAGGAGGCACCGCUUCGUGCUCCCACCUGCGGGCGGUGUUGGGGGCAUUCCGCCGGGACGGCGCUGACAUCGCUGCGUGCAGCCCCGGCCCGCCCCCCCUCUGCCCCCCCUCCCCGCUGCCCCCGCAGUCCCCACGGCUGCGGGAGGAGACGGAACCGCCGCGUUUCUCCGCUCGCGGUUGUGCAAAGCUGGCGCUGCCGGUCCAAAGCGUCGUAUUUUCUUAAUUUGCGCUAUUAAUAGAAGUGGAGAAGUGAGAAAGGUCUGCGACAAAGGGAGGGGAAAGCCGGCACCGCAGAUUCCCGUUCUCAGGCCGACGUCACCCUCUCCUCCCCGGAUCCCACAGCGGGGAGUUUCCCAGCUGGCUGCGAGGCCUAUAAGGUGGGGAUGGGCUGCAGCUGCACAGAUCACGUAUGGGCUCCGUGACCGAUGUGAUGCGGAGAGCUCUGAUGUGCAUUCAUGGUAUUGUGGUGAGUGCCUGCGGAGCGGGGCUGCGGCUGAACGCGAGCAGUGAUCCCAAAGCCAUGAGGUGGCCGUGGGAUGGGAAGGCGUUGGGGCUGCGAUAUGGGUGGGUGCUGCGCCCCGAGGCGGGCAGUGCACGGCUGGCAGCUCGUGUAUGCAGAUGGUGCGGGGCCAGGAAUAGGGCUGAUGGGGUCUGCAUCCCUCUGUGCUGACUGUAACCUCUGCUUGGGGCUUCUCUGCAGUCUGUUUACCCACACAAGGCAGGAUUGAUUUCAUCUUCAUCUCAUAGCAGCCAAGCUCAGGGAUCCCACACCCAGGAAGCACCUACGGACAACAGUCAUCUCACUGGGAGGGUCUGCUUCCAUGGGUAGAUCCCACAGUCCAGCUGGGAGAGCCAAAACUGACCUCACUGACGCUUCAUCGCUCCCCCUUUGCACCACCGCUCCUCACCCAUCAGAGGAUGAGGCUCAGCUGCUUCAGGAGGUGGAAAGAGGUUGGUGAGAGUUGGUUGCAGUGUAACCUGCAGCCCAGCUGGCAUGGGCCACUCGACGGGAGGGGAAAGGAGCUCCGCUCUGCAGCUUCUCGUCGUAGUGUUUCAUGGUUGGGAGGUACCAAACUCCCGUAAAAACGCUGUCCCAGGUUUGCUCUGCUUUACACUUCUCAUGGGACAGAAAGUUUGGUAUUUCUGUACAAUGCUUACUGUCUGUCUUAUCCAAAGCAACAAAAAUAAACACCAUUAAGUCCGUGUUGGCGAAGUUUAUUUGCGGGUCAGAAGGCCCCUUGGGAGGCCUGGGAACAGGGCUAGCAUCUCCAGCCAGCUAUGGGGAGCCACUUCCUACGGAAAGCCUUUCUGCCUAAAGCCUCUGCCCUUCACUUCAAGUUUAUCAGGUGUGCCAUUUCAGUGGGUGAUUUAUAUGCCCUAUGAAUCCCAACAGCACCCAAGCAGAGAAGGCAUUCACCAGGUGAGGCUGUUGUGACCUCAAAUAUUAGUAAAAAUAGGAAAAAUGUGUUUCCAGCAUCUGUUCAGGCCCAGAAAGUCCUCUGAAAUGGCUGUAGGCAAGUUGCUCAAAGAGAAGCAAGACUUGGCAACCUUCAUGAAGUCUCAGAGUAACAGGACAGAGUUCCAGAAGUAAGCAUCUUUUCC
rnacentral:lncRNA from 1 species